rnacentral:rRNA from 1 species
AUUGAACGCUGGCGGCAGGCCUAACACAUGCAAGUCGAACGGUAACAGGAAGAAGCUUGCUUCUUUGCUGACGCGUGGCGGACGGGUGAGAAAUGUCUGGGAAACUGCCUGAUGGCGGGGGAUAACUCCUGGAAACGGUAGCUAAUACCGCAUAACGUCGCAAGACCAAAGAGGGGGAGCUUCGGGCCUCUUGCCAUCGGAUGUGCCCAGAUGGGAUUAGCUAGUAGGUGGGGUAACGGCUCACCUAGGCGACGAUCCCUAGCUGGUCUGAGAGGAUGACCAGCUACACUGGAACUGAGACACGGUCCAGACUCCUACGGGAGGCAGCAGUGGGGAAUAUUGCACAAUGGGCGCAAGCCUGAUGCAGCCAUGCCGCGUGUAUGAAGAAGGCCUUCGGGUUGUAAAGUACUUUCAGCGGGGAGGAAGAGAGGAAAGUUAAUACCUGUACGCAUUGACGUUACCCGCAGAAGAAGCACCGGCUAACUCCGUG